GGGAAAUGCAGUUAGAGUCGUCUAGCAGUACCUCCAGAAUGAAGUGGAUAGUCGUGGCACUUGUGGUAUGCGUGGCAACUACAUCAAUGGGGCGUGAGGAGGAAGAUGGGCGCCUCGUGGCCCGCUUCUCCACCCGCACCCUCGUCUCCGUCAUCACCACCACCGCCACCGUCCCCCAGCAUUGCAUCCUCGGCGUGGCUACCCCAACAUGCACCAACAGGCGACGCCGUCGUGACC